rnacentral:rRNA from 1 species
UACAGAGGGGGCAAGCGUUGUUCGGAAUUACUGGGCGUAAAGGGCGCGUAGGCGGCCUGCUAAGUCGGGUGUGAAAGCCCCGGGCUCAACCUGGGAAUUGCAUUCGAGACUGAAUAGCUAGGGUACGGUAGAGGGAAGCGGAAUUUCCGGUGUAGCGGUGAAAUGCGUAGAUAUCGGAAGGAACAUCAGUGGCGAAAGCGGCUUCCUGGACCAGUACCGACGUUCAGGCACGAAAGCGUGGGGAGCAAACAGG